AGAUUGAACGCUGGCGGCAUGCCCAACACAUGCAAGUCGAACGGGAGUAGCAAUACUCUAGUGGCGGACGGGUGAGGAAUACGUAGGAAUUUGCCCUUAAGUGGGGGAUAACCCGGGGAAACCCGGAUUAAUACCGCAUGACCUCGAAAGAGCAAAGUGGGGGAUCGCAAGACCUCACGCUUUUGGAGAAGCCUACGUCGGAUUAGCUAGUUGGUGAGGUAAUGGCUCACCAAGGCGACGAUCCGUAACUGGUCUGAGAGGAUGACCAGUCACACCGGAACUGAGACACGGUCCGGACUCCUACGAGAGGCAGCAGUGGGGAAUAUUGGACAAUGGGCGCAAGCCUGAUCCAGCAAUGCCGCGUGUGCGAAGAAGGCCUUCGGUUGUAAAGCACUUAAGUUAGGGAAGGAAAAACUACGACGUACUAAC
rnacentral:rRNA from 1 species